rnacentral:rRNA from 1 species
AUCACUAAGCGGAGGAAAAGAAACUAACCAGGAUUCCCUUAGUAACGGCGAGUGAAACGGGAAGUGCCCAGCACCGAAUCCCCUGUCCUUUGGCAGCGGGAAAUGUGGUGUUUAGGAGAGCCUGUGGAGCGUGCGGAGGCGUCCGAGUCCUUAUGAAAGGGGCUGCAGCCAGAGCGGGUGUUAGUCCUCUAGGACGUCGCCGUCACGUUGCUCAGUACCUCCUCGGAGUCGGGUUGUUUGUGAAUGCAGCCCUAAGUGGGUGGUAAACUCCAUCUAAGGCUAAAUACUGGCACGAGACCGAUAGCAAACAAGUACCGUGAGGGAAAGUU